UGGAACAAAUUUCUAUUUCAUAAAUAGAUUUGGAGUAGAAAUCAGAAAUUAAAAUUUUUAACUUUUCUAUUUCUGGAACAGAAAUGAGAAAUCAAAAAAAAAAUUCAUCGUUCACUCUCGUCAUCGCCCAUCACCAACUCGCCGCUCGUGGGAUGCCAAACGCCCGCUGACAGUCGCUGCCUGCCUGCCACCGACCUUGGCCAUCAGCCACUCACCACCGACCGCCGACCACCGAACGCAGCCCGUCAAUCACUAAACUCCAGCCACUCGUCACCAAUCACCAACCGUCAGAUGUUGGACGCCCGUCGGUCGUUGGUCGCUCAUUGUCAACCACCGAACCUUGGAGGCCCACCAUCAACCACCGAACGUCCCCCAUCGAUCGCUCGUCAGUCACCACCAAUUGUCAGAUGUUGACCAUCGGACUUCAGCCAUUGGCCACCCGCCGCCGACUGCCAGUCGCCGACCAUCAGACUCCGGCUAUUGGCCACUCGCCGCCAGCCACUAGCUGCCGGACUCCGACUUGGCCACCCACUGCUAGCCAUCAGUCGCCGGCCUCCAAACGUUGGACAUCGAACUCCG
rnacentral:lncRNA from 1 species